CAGUGAGAAAGAAGCCAUGGACGGGGACACACCCACUUGCCUCCCGGGCUAAGCAGUUGGAGAGCAUGGGAUAACAGAGGGUUGGACUAGGAUCUGGGAGAUCUAGGUUCAAAUCCUCACUUUAUAUAGAAAUCUACUGGGUGAAUUUAGGCCAAUCUCAGGGUUGACGUUUCAAGAUUAAAAUGGAGAAGUGGGGUAAGACGUUAGAAGCUGCUUUGGGUCUCCACUGGGCAGAAAAGUGGUAUGUAAAUAACUCAAUUAAAUAUUCUUGUCCCGUAUGAAUAGCCCUUGUAGCACCCCAACUUAUAAAGACAAUGGUCUUAGACGAGUUUGCAGUGUUGCGUCUUUCUCAAAUGGCAUUAGAGAACAGCACUGCUUUCAACAGGGUGGGUGGGAGAUUUUAAAAAUGCAAACAUUUGGAAGAAAAUCAGUGUUGGAAAAGGAGGAACUGGCAUUGAGAUGCCACAUGACUCUUAAACUUGGACGUUAUGGGAACUCAUUGUGGCUCCUUUUUUGUCUCAACGUAGUUGUGUGUUGCAUGAUUCCAGUGGCAAAUUCCUACCUAUAGUGCAGCAUGCAGCAACAUCUGGAUGCAGCCUUAGUGGGCAGGAAGAGGCACUCUUUACACGCUUAAAAAACUUACAUAAAGAUGUGUAGCCAUUACCCACCCCCUCCCACCCACAUAACUGGCCCCUGGCUUAUUUCAGUUCGACGAAUGGAUGAACUAGUGGGAAAAUAAGGGCCACUGGUUCAUUUCGAGUUCUGUUUCUUGUGUGUGUGUCUGAUGGGGAUGUGUGUGUAUUUUACACCCUCUUUUCCAAUUUGUCAUUAAUAUAUAAUUUGAUGGAUUGCA